rnacentral:RNase_P_RNA from 2 species
GAAGUGGGUUGGGCAAUCGCUGUACUCAAUCUUGAGUAGGGAGGAAAGUCCGGGCUUCACAGGACCGGGUGCCAGGUAACGCCUGGGAGGUGUAAACCUACGGAAAGUGCCACAGAAAAUAUACCGCCUUGCGAAAAUGCACGGUAAGGGUGAAAAGGUGUGGUAACCAGUUACUUAAUGUAAGAGCACACCGCGUCGAUGGUAACAUCGAUGGCAGGGUAAACCCCACCUGAAGUAAGACCAAAUAGAGGAAUCUGUUCAGUUGAAUAUAAUUGAAAGAGAUGGGGUCCGCAUCGUUCCAGGGUAGGUCGCUAGAGGUGUUUGGCGACAAACAUCCCAGAUGAAUGAUUGCCACCAAUACGCUUUGUAAUAGGCGUUUUUGUACAGAACCCGGCUUAUAGAUCCACUUCCGAU